AGAGCAUGUUGUUUCCACUUAGGGAAACCUGAGCUUCCUUCCAAAUGGCACCGGACAUGACCUGAAUUAUACGUUUGCCUCCUGAAAUGAACACGCAAGUCAAGCCUGCUGCCUGCAAGUCACAAAGGCCUUGGGAUGUAGGAGGUACUGGCAAGGAGUUGGUACAGUGGGGGAAGCCAGGCUGUCUGGAGAAACAAACCGGAAUCAGAGCUUCCUACAGAUCAGGAUGCCACACAAAGAACCUUCUUGUGCUGUCUCGAUCUGUGCCCAGACCCACUCCAGGAGAGUCGAUCAUGAGCUACAAGGCUACCACUGCUACAUUUCUUAUAGUUCACUUCUUUUAAGACAUAAGCAAACCCUGCAUAAGCUGAGACAGCAAAUCUAAAUUUGUAACCAGACAGCAAGCAUCCCUGUGGAAGUGGAGGACAGGAUCACCCUCCAAGUCACACAACGGAAGUCCCUGCCCUGGGCCAUUCUCCAAAGGCCCCACUGGGGCCUUCCUCUGAACUCUGGGCUCUCUGCAGCUUGAGGAGUUCCUGAACCACAAGAAUAUUCCAGCCCAAUGCUCAGUGCUUCCUUCUGAACACCCCAGGCACCUGGGCGUACCUCUGCCCAGAGGUAUCAGCCUCCCUGCACCAGACUGGAGAAAACUAUCCCUGGAGCAUGUGCACACCCAGACUGCAGGGGCAGCCUCACUGGGCUUCUGCAGCCAGGGCACCCACCCAUACACACACAAGAGCUCCAGGUUCCCAGUAGAGUGGGGUUGGAGGAGCAGCGGGGUGGCCAGAGCCCAGGGACAGCUCUCCCAGCUCCAUAUGUUCCAGCAUCAAAACUCUGUAAUAAUCUGCAGUGCUAAACUAGAAGGUGUUCUUCCUCUUGUUAUAAAGGCUAUUUUGCUGCAGAAAAAAAAAAUGUGCACAUUUGUAACUCAGAGUUUGUAACUCUGAAGUCUUUAGCCAUACAUUAAAGGAAUCAGCAUUUCUACAGGCACCCUGGGCCCUACAAUGUCAGAGCUCUGUUUGGAGGGCAAGGCAUCCCUCCCCAUCAAGGCCCAGGACCCACAAAGCCCAUGGGGAAGGAGGAGGAGUUGGAGAGCCAAGCCCAAGAGCAUCCUCCACCCUCCUUCUAAGAGUAGAAAGAGGCUUUCCUGGGAGGCAAAGUGAGUAGCCAAGGUCACUGCACUGUGGAGUGGGCCAUUCCCAAAAGAGGAAGGGAAGAGGAUGAGAUCAGAGCUUGGGAGUAGGGGUGGAGGAGGGCACCAAAGGGACUUCAGAAGGGCCUCUCCAGAAGGUACUUCUUUGGCACAUCAAUUCCCUACAGGGCUUCGAAGGAUUUGAGAGAUGGUAAAGAGACUGGAAAAGGGGGAAGGGGUAUGUCUGGUUUUCCCAAACCUUGGAGCUACAGGCUGAGGAGUGGAGUUUAUCGCUAAGUCAGCCAACUGAAGAAGCUGUUCAGGGGGUUCUCAGAACCAGGCUCAGAGCUGCCCAUCACUUACUGCAGACAGGGCCAGUCCUCCACAAGACACAUUGUCCAGGGCCCACAUGACCUCAAAACUGUUUCUAUUUUAGUCUUUCAAAAUCA
rnacentral:lncRNA from 1 species